GACGUAGGGCGCGAGCGUUGUCCGGAUUUAUUGGGCGUAAAGAGCUCGUAGGCGGCUUGUCGCGUCGUCCGUGAAAACCCACAGCUCAACUGUGGGCUUGCGGUCGAUACGGGCAGGCUCGAGUUCGGUAGGGGAGACUGGAAUUCCUGGUGUAGCGGUGAAAUGCGCAGAUAUCGAGGAGGAACACCGGUGGCGAAGGCGGCACUCGUGGGCC
rnacentral:rRNA from 1 species